CCUGGUUGAUCCUGCCAGUAAUCAUAUGCUUGUCUCAAAGAUUAAGCCAUGCAUGUCUAAGUACAUGCCGAAAGAAGGUCGCGAAACCGCGAAUGGCUCAUUAAAUCAGUUAUGGUUCCUUAGAUCGUUUCUUCCUACUUGGAUAACUGUGGCAAUUCUAGAGCUAAUACAUGCAGUGAGCCUGGAGCCCUUUGGGUAACGGGUGCUUUUAUUAGACCAAGAUCGAUCGGGUUUCGGCCCGUAUUGUGUGGUGACUCUGGAUAACUUUGUGCUGAUCGCAUGGCCACGAGCCGGCGACGUUUCUUUCAAGUGUCUGCCUUAUCAACUUUCGAUGGUAGGUUACUUGCUUACCAUGGUUGUUACGGGUAACGGAGAAUCAGGGUUCGAUUCCGGAGAGGGAGCCUGAGAAACGGCUACCACAUCCAAGGAAGGCAGCAGGCGCGCAAAUUACCCACUCCCGGCACGGGGAGGUAGUGACGAAAAAUAACAAUACGGGACUCUUUUGAGGCCCCGUAAUUGAAAUGAGUACACUCUAAAUCCUUUAACGAGGAUCAAUUGGAGGGCAAGUCUGGUGCCAGCAGCCGUGGUAAUUCCAGCUCCAAUAGCGUAUACUAAAGCUGCUGCGGUUAACAGCUCGUAGUUGGAUCUCAGUUCCAGACGAGUAGUGCAUCUACCCGAUGCGAUGGCUCGGACUGAACAUCAUGCCGGUUCUUUCUUGGUGCACUUCAUUGUGUGCCUCGAGAUGGCCGGUGCUUUUACUUUGAAAAAAUUAGAGUGCUCAACGCAGGCGAGUCGCCUGAAUAAACUUGCAUGGAAUAAUAGAACAAGACCUCGUUUCUGUUCUGUUGUUUUGGAAUACGAGGUAAUGAUUAAGAGGGACGGACGGGGGCAUUCGUAUUGCGGCGCUAGAGGUGAAAUUCUUGGACCGUCGCAAGACGAACUACUGCGAAAGCAUUUGCCAAGAAUGUUUUCAUUGAUCAAGAACGAAAGUCAGAGGUUCGAAGGCGAUCAGAUACCGCCCUAGUUCUGACCAUAAACGAUGCCAACCAGCGAUCCGCCUGAGUUACUCAAAUGACUCGGCGGGCAGCUUCCGGGAAACCAAAGUAUUUGGGUUCCGGGGGAAGUAUGGUUGCAAAGCUGAAACUUAAAGGAAUUGACGGAAGGGACCACCAGGAGUGGAGCCUGCGGCUUAAUUUGACUCAACACGGGAAAACUUACCCGGCCCGGACACUGGGAGGAUUGACAGAUUGAGAGCUCUUUCUUGAUUCGGUGGAUGGUGGUGCAUGGCCGUUCUUAGUUGGUGGAGCGAUUUGUCUGGUUAAUUCCGAUAACGAACGAGACUCUAGCCUAUUAAAUAGGUGCGGGGUUCCCAGCACCUUACAACCUUCUUAGAGGGACAAGCGGCUCCUAGCCGCACGAAACAGAGCAAUAACAGGUCUGUGAUGCCCUUAGAUGUCCGGGGCCGCACGCGCGCUACACUGAAGGAAGCAGCGUGUCUUUAUCCCUGUCUGAAAACGGGUAACCCGGGCUCCGGCGCCGAAAGUGGUCCUUGGCACCGACUUCGGUGGACGUGGGAAGUGCCGCGCAAGUACGGCGCGCCUGGCUCCACCUGUUGGCUAAAGUAGGCAGCCGGAUCGGCAUUUUGGUGUGCGGUGGCAAACCGUGGAUGCGAAAAAAGCUU
rnacentral:rRNA from 1 species